UACGAAGGGGGCUAGCGUUGCUCGGAAUCACUGGGCGUAAAGCGCACGUAGGCGGCUCGUUAAGUCAGGGGUGAAAUCCUGGAGCUCAACUCCAGAACUGCCUUUGAUACUGGCGAUCUUGAGUUCGAGAGAGGUGAGUGGAACUGCGAGUGUAGAGGUGAAAUUCGUAGAUAUUCGCAAGAACACCAGUGGCGAAGGCGGCUCACUGGCUCGAUACUGACGCUGAGGUGCGAAAGCGUGGGGAGCAAACAGG
rnacentral:rRNA from 1 species